ACCGUUUCUCGGAUAUCGUAGCAGCUUCUAGGCCGAACCCUCGUAGAACAGGUGAAUUUCGACGCGUAAAUGCAGGGUGCGUCCCGCCUCCUCCCGCGGCUUCGUCCAAACGGAGCAAUCUUCUACGAACGAAUCGUCGCGCCGGCUUAAAUCGAAUCGUCCAACUCGGUCGACCGAAUCGCCCAGGCUUCUUUUUAAGCCUUUCAAGACUACCGGGCCCGCGGUACUCGAUCGGAUCGGUGACGGGGAAGAGGGAUUCCGACGAUUGGAGCAUCGUUGUUAAACCGUGACCGCGCCAACGUCGACGAUACCGAUCGAUGAGGGGAUGCUGUGUGUUUUCGACCGUAUGGGAUUGUCACGGAAAGAUAUUUAUUACGCGCGAACCGGUCUCGCCGGAGGAACCGCGCUGUGCAGACGCGAUCGCAAAGGUGAGAGAAACCCGCGACGAUCGCGUGGUAAAUGCCUGACAUUUUCACCCUCGCCCGUGUAAACGUGUCUCUAUCCGCCUUGCGGAACACGCCGCGCCGCGGUCGAAACUUCGGAGAGAACGCCGGGAAUCUCGAAUCUCGAUCGUUCUUGCGAAUGCAGCUUUGCGCGUCGAACGAAGACGAUCGGACACAGUUUUAUUAUUAAUUAAGCUUUGUUACACGGUCGCGCUCUCCUGUCUGGUUCACGAUGACUCUUCGCAAGAGUUUUAACAAAAGGUUCGCGAUUUAUCGUUAGACUCGGAAUCGACUCGUGCUUGUGCAAGAAUGAAUUUUAAACGAGUUCGGGAUCUAUCCUCUGCAGCUAAUUCGCAAUUUGUACGCACCGGUUUACGUAUUUAGGAUUUUCUGCAAAGGUUGCCGGAUGCAGCGGCUAGGGUAAAAGCGUAAAUUAAGGCGUAAAAAGCACGGGCGAAGCACGGCGCGUUCGAUAGCGGCCGACCACGGUACGAAAUAUGAACCGAUUCGACGUACGAGCUGGUGUUUACAAAAGAUAAUUACCAAUCUUCGGGUAUGCGUCUAGGUUGGCAACAAUGGUAUCGAUAUUUUGAAAGAUGUUUCAUAGCAGAACCGUAACGGAAUUCUACAUCGUUAACCGCGUGAAACCAACCGUGUUCUUAAUUAUUAUUAAAAUGGCCGUUUCGCGUAACUUUAGCCUUCGGAUUGUAUUACACGUAAUUGUAAUAAGCGCGCGUCUGAAAUUUAAUUUUGUCGACAGGCUGAUCGAUUAAACAACAAAAUGACGCAACCUUUGUUUACGCGGAUAUAUAUCUUCGUAAUUAUUCGUACGUCGGGCUCGACUCUCCGCUCCACGAUCGGAUAGCAAUUGGAACAACCGAAUGGUGCAUUUUUUAUGCGAACGGGUAUUUUUUGUAGAAAGAAGGUGUAAAAAUGAGACCUGGAUAGAAAUAUUCGACGAUACCGAAUAAUGACAUUUUAUUUUGUACAUUAUUCCCAAUGGAUUUUUAUUUAACCGGUAAAAAAAUGUCUUAUCGAAUACGAAUCAUAGAACCUCCAAGACGUAUCUUCUCGAACGAUAGCAGCGCCUUCCAUCCCCGACUUCGUUAUCUUCGAACGGAUUUUCCAAAUACAUGCCUCGUCGUUGACAGAGUGUCAACGAAUAAGCUGUCGAGUGCGCAUAAUUUAAUCGAGCGUCGCGCCGAUUCCGUAUCGGUUCCGUAGCUAAACGAUCACCGUCUUCGAGCGGGUAUAAAUUUCGCAGUCGCGACGAAUAGAUGGUUCGUCGGGAUAUUUCACGCGUUCGCGAGUUUCUCCGAUCCGAAACGGUUGCUGGUUAUUACGGGCAAUCGUGACCAAACGUCGAAGAUUCCAUCGGAGGCAUCGCGGGGCACGGCGAGAUGCAACGUCGUGCCAUCGUACACCAUGGGCGUGCCAUAAAUUCCUUUCCGAGAAGAGUCCGAUUAAAACGGCAGACUAAGCGGCUCUGGAGAUUACGAGGACCGGGCUCCUCCGUGUAAACAAGCCUCGUUAUGCACUUAAUUACGAUCGCUCGAACAGUCUCGAACGCGGGUCUGCGUCCGCGUCUGCGCGUACCGUCGGUCCGGGCCGAGCCGGGACGACGUUAUUUUUCGGGGAGAAACUUUCUCACGCCCUCGAGGGCGUUUUACUUUCGCCGCUCGAGUUACAGCCGGCGGUCCUGGAAAUCUGGGAAAUUCGUUUCCGACCGCGUCGCGAAACUGGCAACGGUACAGGAAAGGUUUAGGUUUUCGUGGCCGAGAUCCGCUUCGUAUUUUCACCGGCGUCGCGCGAGACCACAGUCGGGUCUUUCACGAACGGGACAGUUCAGCGAAAUCGCGGACUUUUGUUCGAGACUUCGCGAGAUAACGGCCCUCUCUCGGUUGGCGCUAUUUAUACGCGUCCGAUACACGAUAGCGUCGAGUCGAUCGAUCGAAUGGCCGCAUUGUUAACGCUUUCCGCUGUCCGAUCCGCUCGCUCGAAACGGAAACGGGGCGACUCGAAUUAUUACGAAUGUUUGGGAGGGAUCGACGCGUACCGAUCCAUACCACGAAACGUAAUCGUCUUUAUAUUUUAAUUAGUAAGUUAGCUUACAGCUUGCGGUUGAAUUCGAGAACUUGGAAAGUUGGGUUUGAACAUUGGUCCUUCUUUCCGCGAAACUGGUCGGCAUCGAAUCGAACGCGACAACGGAAAGUCCGUCCGCCGCUGCGAACGCUGUGCGCCAUCGGGCGCCUGCUUAUCGCGCUCCGUUCCGUCGAAAAGAAUCGUUAUCGGGGGAAAACGUUAUCGGUCGUAUUAUUUUACGAUGACCGCAUCGCGGCGUGUCCCGAGAGCGCGAAAGAGAAAAAAUCCUCGCCGUGCCUCGGUUUCGAAUCGCGCGAAUCCGUUCGUUCGGUGCGCACGAUCGAACAACAACGAUUCGGCAAUCUUCUGUGUACGAUUUACGCGAAUACGAGAUAACGCGGAAAGGAUAACGGGCAAUUGCCAGUGUACAACGCGACCGUUGUAACGCGCUUACUUUCGCUGAAUCUUUUACAAAAAUGGAUGGCCACAGUUGGAUGGAUUAAUCGGGCUAAUGAAAAUCAACAGCAUCCGUUGGAACAGUGGUAGCGGUAGUGGUAGUAGUAGCAGCAACUACCGCGCGGUGCUCUAGAAAACAGAAACGCGAAUGGGGCGUAGCAGAGACCUAGCUUUACGGUUAUUAGACUGCGUAUCUUUAUGCAAAACAUCAAUUUUCUGCAUCGGUCGUGAAAAAUGGAAAUCGCAUAGAAAGCUCCUUUCUUCGAUCACUUAAAUAGUUUCGAACGUACUAUCGUACUCUAAUCCUUUUUGUUACGGUGUACAUACGUAGAAAUUUACGAGCGAAGAACGAUAUCUAUCUUCUUCCGACUUUUCUUUUCAUCUUCCAGUUUCCACGUACCAAAGAGACGACCAACUCUUUGUCCGCUCGAGGCUUUUACGCGCCUCGUGUCGACGGUCAUCGGCGUGAUGUCACGCAUCGAAUUAUACCAUAAGCUAACGCGUUGCCGCGAUAAUCGUGUAAUUUAAUUCCCGGCGACCGACAACCCCCGAAAUCAUUGUCGGGUAUACCGUAUUCUUACGGUAGCGACGAAGCUCGCGUACACGGCGUACGCGAGAAGAAAAUUGGCCGAUCGCCCCGAUCGCGUUUCAUUCGGUUUCCGCGGAUAUAUCUGCUCUUUCGAAUCGCGCGGGUGCCCUUUUGUUCGAUCCGAACGGCAGCGAUCUGACAUUAUCCGCGGAAUUGCCGAGAUUCGAGGUCAAAGUCUGUUGCACGCGUUUCUACGGUCGCGUACCGCGGAUACAUCGAGAGAACUGGUGUAAAUUAUCGCUCGUCGAAUCAGCUGCGGCUAUUCGAGCGUCCAUCGUUCGUUCGGCUCGUAAAAUUCAACUCGCUCGCCGAACUGGAUAAACGUUGGCUGCCGAUCGACAGCUUGUAAAUUCGGUCGUUGGAAAUGUCUUGAACUUUCGUAAGGUUACGCGAACUUGGUUCAUUUUUUUCGCGCGUUGUCGAGCGACGUCGCGUGUUCUCAUCGGAAUCGUUCGAUCGAACGUUGACCGGAUACGGGUCGCGAACAGCCGGUCGAGAGUUCCGACCGAUUGAAAUUCGGUGUAUAAAGAUAGUACUUCCUGUCGAACGAUCCUGUUCUUUGGUUAGCGAACGUUGACGCUACCGGGCACACUCGUCGACCACUUAACAGCGUUGUAGUUCGCAGAUGAAGUCGCGCGAACGUUAAGUUAAGUUCGACGAGUUAAAACGACGAAUUCGAAACAGGGUUAUAUUAUUAUGCGAAAUUAAUGAACCGUAAAAUUAAGAAACCGUUCCUUGAAAAUCUUUGAUAACGCUCGAUUCGAGCUUUUAUUUCGAUCGAAGUUGUUUUGCAAAAAUUUUUAUAAAGUAAAUUUUACUAUUUAUUUCUUUUUAUACCUACGUUACGGUCGUAACGUGGAAUAGGAAACGAUCGAGAGUUCUAUUCGUUCCGGGACGGAAACCGGCAACUUUGUUCUCGAUCGAUCGGUUUCUAUCGAGAAAGAAUAUCGGUCGCAACGUUUCGAACGAUCCGUGUAGUUCACUGUCGUAUCGUACGGAUGCGCUGGACGAACGGCCGCGUUCGAGCCGUUCCCGUCCGUGCCGUUUCCUGUUUUUCUUCUAUCGUCCAUUUCGCACGCGACACUGUUUCAACGAUAAGGGGUGGUUCAUAAAUAUUUACGUAACAUAUCGUCGCGUCGAUUCUAACGGUGCAGCCGAGAAAGCACGUCCACGUAUAAAGCCAGCGAUAAUUCGUCCGGAAACGGGGAACAAGGCAUUCGCGUCACGCACCGUGCACUCGUACAUAAUUCGUGCAUUCUUUAAAUUUACAAUCGUCGUCCGGCCUAUCGAAGCGUCGGACGCGAAGCUAGGAUGCACAAAGGUCGGCGUGCGGCGGUCUCGCGCGAUAACAAUGGUUUGUCGUUUCGUCGAUCGCGACGACGAAAUGCGGCCGGUGCUGAUUUUUCUUUCGAACGGGAACAUUGCCGAGUCAUUUGCGAGCGUUUCGAUGCAAAUCUCGAUCGCUGCGAACGUUACGCAAUUAUGUCGGGGAAUUUUCGCUCGGUCGCCUAGAAGUCGGGAAAUCUCUUUCGGAUCGCUGGCUGGCCACGAAAAGCACGAAUUCUAAAGCCACGAAUCCGGCCACGAGGGUACGCGCCGUUUUAUAGAAACAACGAAACGCGAAACAGGAAUUUUCCAACGGAAACGAUCGCAGCCUGUACAAGCAGGAUCGCGCGGGGGGUAGCAGUUUCGAACGGGGAUCGUUUUCGUCGUCGCGGUCAUUUCCGUUGGCCGCGAGCUUCGCGGACAGAAAUGUAAUUUUUCAUAAAAGUCGGUGCCUGGCCGGCUGAACGCGUUGCGACACCGCACACGCCCCGGUCACGAAUGUAAUGGUUAUUUUAUUAUCCGCGCGUUCGAUGCUCACGAUCGUCGUUACUUUCUCGUUAGCCACGAUCUACCGACUAUAGGCUAGGUCGCCGCGGGAACGAUGAAAAAGUUGUACGGUGUUCUCUUUCGACGUACAAGUACGAUAGCUCGAUGACUAUGGAACGGAAAUCCUCCUGUUUUUUUUCGCGGUGAACGCAACGCUUUCGAGCGUCUCGGUUAAUUGUUCGGCAGUCCUACUUCGAUGCGGCGUCGGAUACAUUUUCAAAAUAUCGUUUGCGUAGAACGGAUACGUUGCGCAAGCGUGGAUGCUUCGACGAUUAUCCAUAUUUUGCGCAGACGAUACAAAUUUUCGUUGACGGAUCGGCAAAAUAAUUUAGCGAACGUUUCUCAUCUAUGAUUUCAGAAGCGUGAAACAAUUUUUAAACUCGUUUACGUUCGAUCACCGAUAGAAAAGUUACGGCAUUCGAUUCCCUCGGGUCGGAAGCUGUCGCGCAUCGCAACAUAAAAGUAUAAAAGUUUAUACGAUUUAAAAUCAUUCUUCGUCGAUUCAGCGCUUACACGACGUACGCGGACGCGAGCGUCGACGUAUCGUAUAUCUUCGGAUAGAUCGAUUUUUACCGUUCUCAUCGGAUAUUAAACGUUGCUCGUAAGAGGCCUUUGAUGAAUAUUUCUGAAUUCGAUCGGUCGGCGUGAUACGGAAAAGCGAGCGAGGUCUCGCGAGGUCGAUGCGUCGAAUUAAAGGUCCCCCCGAGGCGAGGCCGCGCGCAGAGGGCAUAGGCCGAUUACGCGCAAACGCGGUCGUGUAACCGGGCGCGCAGCGGCGCCAAGUUGAGAACUCCUUGCAUAAUUGGAGUCAACGAUGCGUACCGAAUGGCCUCCGCCAUUGUCUGCAUACAGUUAGCCGAUUAUUCCGCGAACACGUUCCGUACUGUUCGCACCAGCGACAAAACUGGCGGCUGCCACGGGUGACAUCGAUGCGGAGACUGCGCGUCGCUCGCACAACGCGUCUGUAACACGUUUUUUCCAUCGUCCUCGAUUCAUCGAGAAUCUCGAGAAAGGACUUAUAAUUGUAUCGAACGGCAACGCGUAAGACCCUCCGCGCGCUGCAAACGCGCGAAACGCAACGAGCUUGGAUAAGUUUCGAGGAGACGCGGUGGCACGAUACUAUUAUCAACGACGAAGCCGAUGCACCGGGGACGCAGCGGACCGAGCGUCGUUGGCCUUCCAGGAAACGCGAAAAAAAGCGGCUGCGAUCCGCGAGUUAGUCGCGUUCCAAAGGCAGCAGCAGCAGCAACAGCACCAGCCGCGCUCCGAAUGGAACCGGAAGUCGUCGGAACGCCCCCUGGUAAUUUCAGACGCGACGUCCCGCGAUAAACGCCAAGGGCUGCGCAAAUUGCGAAACGAGUCGGCAGCCGGCGGAAAGAAGUCCGGGAGGACAACGAGGAAUAAUUAAAAACCGGGCGUGGAAACGAGAGAAGAGCGGGACAACGAAGAGAAUCGUGUAGACGAGGCGCGCGCGCGCGUUAUUCGCGGUUUUUGUCGAAAUCGUUUAACCGGUCGGCGCCGAGGAACCCGGAGUUUUUCAUCGGUGUCUCCCGAACACGUUCGGUCGGCAGGCGCAUUUUCUCUCUCGCCGCUUACAAAACGGUUCUACCGUUUACGCAUUCCUCGUGGGCAGCAGUCUACGCGUUCCCAACCGCGACUGUACACGCGUAUCUACGGGCCCCUUCUUUUCCCCUCGUUCCCUCCGUGUCCCGCUCUCUCGCAUUUUCCUAUCCUCCGACUUUCCUGCUCUCCAACCUCCUCGCUUCGCUCGGCAUGUCCGCUUCUUCGAACAAACGUCUUCGGCUUCGCUUCGCGUCGACGCGUGCAACAAGAAUGCACCCGCCGCGCCGCUGCAGACCAGUCCGCGCUAUUCCGCGUCGUUCCGCGUCAUUCGGCUCGCUGUUUUACGGAAUCCGAUCGUCGCCGUACCACGUCGCAUCGGGAAAACGGUCGAAUAGAUUUACGGGCGCGCUCGAUUCGCGCGAACGAGAUCGAUCUCGCGCGUGCUCCAUAACAUGCCGCAUCCGAAGCAACGGCUCCUUUCCGGGUCGACGACUCGCGCCGAUCCAUUUUCUAGAUGCCGAUAAUUUUGUUGCGAUACUCGUAACGCGCCGACGGUCGAUACCAUAUCUUGUAACGUUGCGGUAAAAUGCAACCGUUGCAACCGUUGCAACCGAGGAACGCGUACAAUUCCAGGACUUUUAACUGCGACGGAUCGUUGACCGCGCUUUCGUACAAUUUUCAACAACGUCCCUCCGAACUACGUUACGAUACGCGUCUCUCGGUUCUGUUAUCUACGCGAUGCAAGGGAAUAACCAAAAUAUGUGGCACCUCAAUUGCAUGCUCGUGUUCACGAUCCGCGAUCAACGUUAUCGAACCAAUGAAAUUGAUAUCUCCGCGAACACCGAACUCUCGCAGCUGUCAUCCGCGGACACGCCGUCGAACGGAAGCAGGCCGACGCAUCGCGUGAAUUAACGUUGGAACCGGUUAUCCGACUAGAUCGAUCGAGCUCGCUGAACGUUGAUGGCGUCGGGACGACGACGAAGGACAGUGCCGGAUCGCGUCGAGACACAACGAACGAUAGAAGAAACAUUCUCCCGGCUUGACCUCACGCGCACAGCGUGUCGGUUAGUCACCGAAACGCUCUUGUAUUCCCUCCUACGUAUUCAUGCGCGUUCGUACGUAUUCGUACCUACCAACGCAUCAGCGCCACCCUCCCCUUUAGAUCGCACGUGUGCGUAUGCCGCGUGGUACGUGUCUUUAAAUCGUUUCUAUCGUCGACGAUCGGCGUCUAGAAGCAGCGCCGGUUUUCCAUGGGUUCGCGCUACUCGCCGUGGGAGUAUUUAUGGGGGAAAGUCCAUUAUCAUCGGGCAUCGCGAUGCAAAAAUAGUCGCGGAGCACGUGCGGUUGCUAAAUGCUGCGUCGCGUGUUCGCGUCUCUCGAACCCUCUGAACGCGGUAGGUGUGUUCGCGAUCGACGGAUUCACACCGGUCGGUCGACGUUGGUUAACGUCUUCCGGUCGAUCGUUUCGGAGCCAACCGUAUCGUUUAAUCGUUACGUUUCUGCGUCGCGGUUGCGAAUUAUGAAACGAAACUUGGACGUUCUCGUAAUCGUUAAUUAUUCGCGAACAAAUUUCCCUGGUUCUCCGGUCGCUGUGAACAAUAGUUUAGAGUACUCCGACUGCUCUAAUCGGACUGGCCCCGAUACCAUAGACGCGUUAAAAGGUGUACAACCGCUCUGUGUCGCGCGCGUUCUCGUUUCUCGCAGCUCGGCCCGAUCUGCUCCGUUUUUCAUUUUGUAAACGAUCGUCGCGCAACGAUCGCGUCACUCGCGCGCAUUUUAAGAACGUCCAAUGAAUUCCGUGCUUCCACGUGUUUCUAAUUAGAAACCGAACCGUAAGGAUUUGAUCCACGGUUCAUCGCGCGAGCGCUAUUUAGAAUGCCAUUAUACUUUCCAUUAGGACGUCGCGUCGCCGAUGUAAUUUUAAUAGACCGAAUAGACCGAAAACACCGCAAUUGCGGCAGGAACGAUUUGAAAAUCGAAAGAUCCGAUGAAAUUCAAUCCUGCGCGUAACCUCUAUGUUUUAAUCGGAGAGAUCAUUGUAAAAUGUCAACGUGGGAAGUAAAAUUAUGCGUGUUUACGAAA